rnacentral:rRNA from 1 species
UUAAAUUGAAGAGUUUGAUCAUGGCUCAGAUUGAACGCUGGCGGCAGGCCUAACACAUGCAAGUCGAGCGGUAGCACAGAGAGCUUGCUCUCGGGUGACGAGCGGCGGACGGGUGAGUAAUGUCUGGGAAACUGCCUGAUGGAGGGGGAUAACUACUGGAAACGGUAGCUAAUACCGCAUAAUGUCGCAAGACCAAAGUGGGGGACCUUCGGGCCUCAUGCCAUCAGAUGUGCCCAGAUGGGAUUAGCUAGUAGGUGGGGUAACGGCUCACCUAGGCGACGAUCCCUAGCUGGUCUGAGAGGAUGACCAGCCACACUGGAACUGAGACACGGUCCAGACUCCUACGGGAGGCAGCAGUGGGGAAUAUUGCACAAUGGGCGCAAGCCUGAUGCAGCCAUGCCGCGUGUGUGAAGAAGGCCUCGGGUUGUAAAGCACUUUCAGCGGGGAGGAAGGCGAUAAGGUUAAUAACCUUGUCGAUUGACGUUACCCGCAGAAGAAGCACCGGCUAACUCCGUGCCAGCAGCCGCGGUAAUACGGAGGGUGCAAGCGUUAAUCGGAAUUACUGGGCGUAAAGCGCACGCAGGCGGUCUGUCAAGUCGGAUGUGAAAUCCCCGGGCUCAACCUGGGAACUGCAUUCGAAACUGGCAGGCUAGAGUCUUGUAGAGGGGGGUAGAAUUCCAGGUGUAGCGGUGAAAUGCGUAGAGAUCUGGAGGAAUACCGGUGGCGAAGGCGGCCCCCUGGACAAAGACUGACGCUCAGGUGCGAAAGCGUGGGGAGCAAACAGGAUUAGAUACCCUGGUAGUCCACGCCGUAAACGAUGUCGAUUUGGAGGUUGUGCCCUUGAGGCGUGGCUUCCGGAGCUAACGCGUUAAAUCGACCGCCUGGGGAGUACGGCCGCAAGGUUAAAACUCAAAUGAAUUGACGGGGGCCCGCACAAGCGGUGGAGCAUGUGGUUUAAUUCGAUGCAACGCGAAGAACCUUACCUGGUCUUGACAUCCACAGAACUUUCCAGAGAUGGAUUGGUGCCUUCGGGAACUGUGAGACAGGUGCUGCAUGGCUGUCGUCAGCUCGUGUUGUGAAAUGUUGGGUUAAGUCCCGCAACGAGCGCAACCCUUAUCCUUUGUUGCCAGCGGUUAGGCCGGGAACUCAAAGGAGACUGCCAGUGAUAAACUGGAGGAAGGUGGGGAUGACGUCAAGUCAUCAUGGCCCUUACGACCAGGGCUACACACGUGCUACAAUGGCAUAUACAAAGAGAAGCGACCUCGCGAGAGCAAGCGGACCUCAUAAAGUAUGUCGUAGUCCGGAUUGGAGUCUGCAACUCGACUCCAUGAAGUCGGAAUCGCUAGUAAUCGUAGAUCAGAAUGCUACGGUGAAUACGUUCCCGGGCCUUGUACACACCGCCCGUCACACCAUGGGAGUGGGUUGCAAAAGAAGUAGGUAGCUUAACCUUCGGGAGGGCGCUUACCACUUUGUGAUUCAUGACUGGGGUGAAGUCGUAACAAGGUAACCG